rnacentral:rRNA from 1 species
UGGGGAAUCUUCCGCAAUGGACGAAAGUCUGACGGAGCAACGCCGCGUGAACGAUGACGGCCUUCGGGUUGUAAAGUUCUGUUAUACGGGACGAAUGGGACGACGGCCAAUACCCGUCGUAAGUGACGGUACCGGAAGAGAAAGCCACGGCUAACUACGUGCCAGCAGCCGCGGUAAUACGUAGGUGGCAAGCGUUGUCCGGAAUUAUUGGGCGUAAAGGGCGCGCAGGCGGCGUCGUAAGUCGGUCUUAAAAGUGCGGGGCUUAACCCCGUGAGGGGACCGAAACUGCGAUGCUAGAGUAUCGGAGAGGAAAGCGGAAUUCCUAGUGUAGCGGUGAAAUGCGUAGAUAUAUGGAAGAACACCAGUGGCGAAAGCGGCUCUCUGGUCUGUAACUGACGCUGAGGUUCGAAAGCGUGGGUAGCAAACAGGAUUAGAUACCCUGGUAGUCCACGCUGUAAACGAUGAAUGCUAAGUGUUGGAGGGUUUCCGCCCUUCAGUGCUGCAGCUAACGCAUUAAGCAUUCCGCCUGGGGAGUACGACCGCAAGGUUG